CACUUCUCCAAGCGGAAACGACGCAGAAAAAAUUGUUGGUGCUGGUAACGUAGAUGCUGCGGAGAUGUCGGUGUGCUGCAUUCAACGGUCGGCGUGGCCCGUCAACUUUGGUGCGCGCACAAACUUUUGUGAAGGAAAAAAAAUGUGCCGCAGUCCGCGUCGUCUAUAGGCUUAGGUUUGUCUGAGUGUGUGCGUCCAUUACAACUGGGCAGGAAAUUGCCACUCGGAGACAGCAGAUAAACAUUCCCUGCUGCCGCCGCCACUGUUGCUGUCGUCGAUUUCAGCGCCUACUCACCGCGAAAACGCAAGACUGAGGACCGUCGCCAGUGCCGCCUCCUGCAUCCAUGGUCCGCUGCCGUUGUUGCUAUCCUGGCAUAGGUCAGGCGGGCAGCACAGGGCCGAUUCCAACUUGUGGCCGUACAUCGGGCAGGUCAUCGUCGUCAUGUCCAUCGCGCAGGCCCCUGUUGCUAGCCAGGUAGCAGGCGAGAAACACGGACGUCGGAAAAUGCCAAUUGGAUUUUGCGGUGUGAUCAUUUCCUGCUGCUGCUGCCGCUGAUGUUGUUGCUGCUGCUGGGUGAAAGCAGCCGCCGAUGCGUGCUAUUUGGCUAAUGUGGCAAUGAAUUCUUCCUGCUGCUGCCGCCACCGCUGCUAGCGCUGCUGCUGGUGGAUGUGUCGCCGCCUUAUGGAUCUGCCUACAUAAGGAUUGACACCAGAACCGCCGCUCGCACCUAAGAGACACCUCUGUUGCUGCUGUUGUUCCGACAGAUGCAUGCGCCGCCGAUGUUAUCCGAAGGUUGUCGGGCUUUUGUUGUUGUUGUUUCUGGUCUUGCUGCUGCUGUUGCUGCUGUCACUGCCAUGGUAAGCUAAGGCUAAGGUAUUAGGAGAAAAACUCUUUUCAAAAAUGGGUCUAGUAGAUGUUAAGUCAGUGGACUCCACUGCCAAUGUAAUCAACAAGGUCGAAGUUGUUCCUUUAAACCUGGAUUACAUAAUAAUUUGUUUAAUUAUUAUAACAAUAAUUAUGUUGAUAAAUACAUGUUAUAAAAUAUACAAAAUGCAUAGUAAAUGCCUUAAGAAAAGAUAUGUAAGCAGAGCUAAUGACUUGGACAGGGUUUGAUAGCUGAAAGGCAAUAAUUAAAGCAAAAAAAAAAAAAA